GUUGGAACUCGCAUCCUCCACUUGAAUCUUUAAAGUGCUUGAGAAAACACUCGAAACUUUGCACUUGUUCAUUGAUGCAUGAGUCAUCCUCGAAAAGCUUCUAACACAUUGACUACCUUUCAAGGGAUGUUCUGAAGUUUUCGUGAUGCUUUUAGCACUACAGCCAGGAUUCAAAGAGGCUGAGAUUCUUGAAUUACUUGAAGAAGAGUUAUGGCCACUUGACUGUCUUUGACAGUUAAU
rnacentral:misc_RNA from 1 species